AAAAAAUGAGAGGUGGCACCAAAUAAAAGUGCCCUUUUCCAAUAUUUUUUCCCUACAUUUUUCAUACACAAAAAGGAUUCCCAUUUUUUCUUAUUGCAUUCUUAGCCUAAUUUUAACAGAACCAUUUUAAUUCCAGGCCCUGUUUGUGAGUUAUUCCAUGCUUUGCCAUUGGACUUGGGACAAAGGAGUGGGAGGAUCUGUUCCACAUGGGUGUCAUCCAAUGCUCAGCUCAGCUCCAGUGCUUUCCUUGGGAAAGGAUGUACUGGAAUAAAACCAAUGAUCCUGUCUCACAUGGUACCUGCCCUGGGAGGCCACCACUGUUCUGUUCCUGGCAGAAGGGACCUGCUGGCAGCUGUGGUUCAAGACUUGGCUGUGUGGCAGCAACAUGGAAGGGCUGCACUUGGAGCCUUCUGUCCUUUCCUGUUCUGGGAGCAGGAGCAUUGGUGUGUGCAGGACACUGAUAGUUGUAAUAUUACCUGCAGUUUCCUGGAGCCAUGAAACAGCCAAUACCUGCAGGGUGUUAUUCCCUGACAGCACAUUUGGAGAGAAACAGAUUGCAGGAUACUCUUGUCCAAGCAAGAAGUUUCUUUCCUUCUCCCAGAGAGCUUUGAGGUUUUUCUUGAAGUCAUUCUGCUAAUCUUGGCUGCAGCCCAGCAAGGCUUCCCUGCAGUGCAAUGGAGUUCUCUGUGCCUGAGCUGGUUCUGUCCCACUGACCCCCUGGCAGUGGCAGCACACAAUGUGCUGAGGUGGCUUUGGUGAUAGCAGCACUAAAUUCCCGAGUGAAAUCUGCUGUGACAAGAGAUAGACCUGCCUGAGCAACCACAGGCUUGGAGAUUUCACGUGUCAAGAUGAUCUAGCUGAGGUAACAAGUAACAAGAUAACAAAGAACUUGGAUGUUCAAAGAGUUCUUGCUAAUGUCCUUCACAGAAGCUGAAGUAAACUGCUAUGAACUAAAUGAACAUUUAAUCACUUACUGACUACAGUAAUAAAGUGAGAGGAUACCUGUGUGUCCUCCAGAGGGAUUCCUGAAUGGACUUGUAGAUUUAAUAAACCUUAAGUAGAA